AUUGAACGCUGGCGGCAGGCCUAACACAUGCAAGUCGAGCGAGCGGCGGACGGGUGAGUAAUGUAGGGGGACCUGCCCGAUAGAGGGGGAUAAUUACUGGAAACGGUGGUUAAUACCGCAUACUUUUGGCUGAAACCUUAUGGGAUUAGCUAGUAGGUGGGGUAAAGGCUCACCAAGGCGACGAUCCCUAGCUGGUCUGAGAGGAUGAUCAGCCACACUGGAACUGAGACACGGCCCAGACUCCUACGGGAGGCAGCAGUGGGGAAUAUUGCACAAUGGGCGCAAGCCUGAUGCAGCCAUGCCGCGUGUAUGAAGAAGGCCUUAGGAUUGUAAAGUACUUUCAGCGGGGAGGCGUUACCCGCAGAGAAAGCACCGGCUAACUCCGUGCCAGCAGCCGCGGUAAUUC
rnacentral:rRNA from 1 species